CUUCACCCGUCGACGAGGGAGUGCUUCCCGCUCUUCCUUCACCUGCUGCACCUUCGCCCUCGCCCCCUUCACCGUCACCUCCCUCGCCGCAGCCCCCUACGCCUCCUUCACCUGGUUCGGAGGAAGCAGCACCGUCUCCCUCACCUCCCUCUCCCGCUCCGCCCUCACCGUCUCCUCCCUCGCCGCAGCCCCCUACGCCGCCUUCACCUGGUUCGGAGGAAGCAGCACCGUCUCCCUCACCUCCCUCUCCCGCUCCGCCCUCACCGUCUCCUCCCUCGCCGCAGCCCCCUACGCCUCCUUCACCUGGUUCGGAGGAAGCAGCACCGUCUCCCUCACCUCCCUCUCCCGCUCCGCCCUCACCGUCUCCUCCCUCGCCGCAGCCCCCUACGCCUCCUUCACCUGGUUCGGAGGAAGCAGCACCGUCUCCCUCACCUCCCUCUCCCGCUCCGCCCUCACCGUCUCCUCCCUCGCCGCAGCCCCCUACGCCUCCUUCACCUGGUUCGGAGGAAGCCGCACCGUCUCCCUCACCUCCCUCUCCCGCUCCGCCCUCACCGUCUCCUCCCUCGCCGCAGCCCCCUACACCUCCUUCACCUGGUUCGGAGGAAGCCGCACCGUCUCCCUCACCUCCCUCUCCCGCUCCGCCCUCACCGUCUCCUCCCUCGCCGCAGCCCCCUACACCUCCUUCAC
rnacentral:lncRNA from 1 species